rnacentral:rRNA from 1 species
GAUGAACGCUGGCGGCGUGCCUAAUACAUGCAAGUCGAGCGAACGGACGAGAAGCUUGCUUCUCUGAUGUUAGCGGCGGACGGGUGAGUAACACGUGGAUAACCUACCUAUAAGACUGGGAUAACUUCGGGAAACCGGAGCUAAUACCGGAUGAUAUUUUGAACCGCAUGGUUCAAAAGUGAAAGACGGUCUUGCUGUCACUUAUAGAUGGAUCCGCGCUGCAUUAGCUAGUUGGUAAGGUAACGGCUUACCAAGGCAACGAUGCAUAGCCGACCUGAGAGGGUGAUCGGCCACACUGGAACUGAGACACGGUCCAGACUCCUACGGGAGGCAGCAGUAGGGAAUCUUCCGCAAUGGGCGAAAGCCUGACGGAGCAACGCCGCGUGAGUGAUGAAGGUCUUCGGAUCGUAACUCUGUUAUUUGGGAAGAACAUAUGUGUAAGUAACUGUGCACAUCUUGACGGUACCUAAUCAGAAAGCCACGGCUAACUACGUG